AAUUUUGGACAAUGGGGGAAACCCUGAUCCAGCCAUCCCGCGUGUGCGAUGAAGGCCNNNGGGUUNUCAAGCACUUUUGGCAGNAACNAAACGUUCCGGGUUAAUACCCCGGGAAACUGACGGUACCUGCAGAAUAAGCACCGGCUAACUACGUGCCAGCAGCCGCGGUAAUACGUAGGGUGCAAGCGUUAAUCGGAAUUACUGGGCGUAAAGCGUGCGCAGGCGGUUCGGAAAGAAAGAUGUGAAAUCCCAGAGCUUAACUUUGGAACUGCAUUUUUAACUACCGAGCUAGAGUGCGUCAGAGGGAGGUGGAAUUCCGCGUGUAGCAGUGAAAUGCGUAGACAUGCGGAGGAACACCGAUGGCGAAGGCAGCCUCCUGGGAUAACACUGACGCUCAUGCACGAAAGCGUGGGGAGCAAACA
rnacentral:rRNA from 1 species